rnacentral:rRNA from 1 species
ACUCCUACGGGAGGCAGCAGUAGGGAAUCUUCCACAAUGGGCGCAAGCCUGAUGGAGCAACACCGCGUGAGUGAAGAAGGGUUUCGGCUCGUAAAGCUCUGUUAUUAAAGAAGAACACGUAUGAGAGUAACUGUUCAUACGUUGACGGUAUUUAACCAGAAAGUCACGGCUAACUACGUGCCAGCAGCCGCGGUAAUACGUAGGUGGCAAGCGUUAUCCGGAUUUAUUGGGCGUAAAGAGAGUGCAGGCGGUUUUCUAAGUCUGAUGUGAAAGCCUUCGGCUUAACCGGAGAAGUGCAUCGGAAACUGGAUAACUUGAGUGCAGAAGAGGGUAGUGGAACUCCAUGUGUAGCGGUGGAAUGCGUAGAUAUAUGGAAGAACACCAGUGGCGAAGGCGGCUACCUGGUCUGCAACUGACGCUGAGACUCGAAAGCAUGGGUAGCGAACAGGAUUAGAUACCCUGGUAGGAUAGCG